GGUUAAUAGAUCUUUGAGUUAUCAGUCCCCUCAACAUAGAGGAAAUUAUAUUAUCUGAAACACCCUCACUACUACUGCUACGACGAUAUAGAAGAGGCACAAUAUAGAACCUUCUAAGUUACGGAAGUAGGAAAUCAUUGAACUAACUGGAAUCGCCACAAGAAUACCCCUACAAACUGUCCUAAUGAUGUUCCAAGAGUCGUGAGCCGGCAACCUUCACGUAAUGAAAAUGUCAGAUUUGGAUUUUAGAAUUUGCCUCGUAAAAGAAUGACAACCAAAACGACUUAAGACUCCAUCAACUUACGAGCCCUAUUCCGGGAAUGCUUUAAUUAAUUAUAACCUAAUCAAUUUCAUUGUGCGUUAGUUGAACAGAAGGCUCAUGAUGGCAAAAUUACUUCAAACACUUAAACAAAACGAAGCGGUAUUGCAAAAAAUUCUGCAACGAGGAUCGAUUUGACUUUGCCGUUCAUUUGAUCCGACAACAUGCUAAAAAUAUCAUCAACUGAUAACCUACGUUCAUCGUGGCAGCUAAUUU